UUUGACAAAAUUUGCAAAAUGUCAUCGUGAAGGAAGGGAAAACGUCACCCACAUCACAUGCACCCACAAGCGCGCCUCCGAGAAUCGGGGCCCUGCAGCUUGCACCUCACUAAAACACCAGCGGUAACUGCCUGGCGCGAUUAUAACGGACGCCGUACAGCUUAGCUGGACUCUGGUCCUCCCACAGCACUUCCUCCUCCAUUCGUCCGGGCACACCGUAUGCGGCAUUGGGUCGCCGGCUCAUAUGCAACGCAUGCGCCCUGUUUGCUCAUCCCUCACCCUCCGUCCAUGAGAGCGACUAGCCACCCAUCAGUGGUCGGGGAGCCUGCAAUGCGUGCAAAGGUGCAAUCUGUAAUAAAACCUUCGUGCACUGCACCUGACAUACUGCAGCUCCCGUAUAUUAUAUUAAUCACACCUUUAGUUCAAGGUCACCAAUGAAUUGCCACCAUCAAUUAUGAUCGCCAACCUUUGCCGCUGCUGCUCCAGGCCCAGCAUUGCAGCUUCGCCAAGC
rnacentral:lncRNA from 1 species